GUCAAGGUAGUCUAGUCCGGCCAGGCAACGGACAUCAGAUUCGUGCAACAGGGGUUCAAAUCCCUUCCUUGGCU
rnacentral:tRNA from 1 species